UACGAAGGGGGCUAGCGUUGUUCGGAAUUACUGGGCGUAAAGGGCUCGUAGGCGGCCAACUAAGUCAGACGUGAAAUCCCUGGGCUCAACCCAGGAACUGCGUCCGAUACUGGUUGGCUUGAAUCCGGGAGAGGGACGUGGAAUUCCAGGUGUAGCGGUGAAAUGCGUAGAUAUCUGGAGGAACACCGGUGGCGAAGGCGACGUCCUGGACCGGCAUUGACGCUGAGGCGCGAAAGCCAGGGGAGCAAACGGG
rnacentral:rRNA from 1 species